rnacentral:rRNA from 1 species
GAUGAACGCUGGCGGCGUGCCUAAUACAUGCCAGUCGAGCGAACAGACGAGGAGCUUGCUCCUCUGACGUUAGCGGCGGACGGGUGAGUAACACGUGUAUAACCUACCUAUAAGACUGGGAUAACUUCGGGAAACCGGAGCUAAUACCGGAUAAUCUAUUGAACCGCAUUGUUCAAUAGUGAAAGACGGUUUUGCUGUCACUUAUAGAUGGAUCCGCGCCGCAUUAGCUAGUUGUGAAGUUAACGGCUUACCAAGGCAACGAUGCGUAGCCGACCUGAGAGGGUGAUAGCCCGCCCUGGAACUUAGCCAGGGUCAAGACUCCUACGGGAGGCAGCAGUCGGGAACGUUCCGCAGUGGGGGAAAACAUGACGGAGCAAGGGCGAGUGAGUGAUGAAAGUCUUCGGAUCGUAAAACUCUGUUAUUAGGGAAGAACAAAUGUGUACGUAAAUAUGCACGUCUUGACGGUAACUAAUAAGAAAGCAACGGCUAACUACGUG